AAAAUCUGCUUUUAAGGGAGACACCAUGGUCGCAAAGGUGGUUUUCCCGGGGUAGGCUCUUCCAUUGCAAUCUGGGUGUGCUGACCUCUGUGAUUUCCCUGGGUGGGGAAACUUGACUGCAUAAUUUGUGGUAGUGGGGGACUGUGUUCGCGCUUUCCCCUG